rnacentral:rRNA from 1 species
CCUACGGGUGGCAGCAGUGAGGAAUAUUGGUCAAUGGACGCGAGUCUGAACCAGCCAAGUAGCGUGAAGGAUGACUGCCCUAUGGGUUGUAAACUUCUUUUAUAUGGGAAUAAAAUGCUUCACGUGUGGGUUUUUGUAUGUACCAUAUGAAUAAGGAUCGGCUAACUCCGUGCCAGCAGCCGCGGUAAUACGGAGGAUCCGAGCGUUAUCCGGAUUUAUUGGGUUUAAAGGGAGCGUAGGUGGAUUGUUAAGUCAGUUGUGAAAGUUUGCGGCUCAACCGUAAAAUUGCAGUUGACACUGGCAGUCUUGAGUACAGUAGAGGUGGGCGGAAUUCGUGGUGUAGCGGUGAAAUGCUUAGAUAUCACGAAGAACUCCGAUUGCGAAGGCAGCUCACUGAACUGCCACUGACACUGAGGCUCGAAAGUGUGGGUAUCAAACAGGAUUAGAUACCCUUGUAGUC